CUGGGUCGGUCCCGCCCGCCGCUCCCAAGGCCGCGCCCGCACUCGCUGGUUCUGGAACGGGGUUCCGGCGCGCGGGGACCUGGGGGCAGGAGGAGACGCGAGACAGCUCCCACGGGACCAGCACCGGGAUUCCCCGGUUCCAGUCCAUGGGAGCCAGAAGAGAUCAUAGGUGGACUCUCAUGGCUCCAAGGGAGACGGUGGGUCCACUCCCAUGGGGACCAGCCGUAGCUCUGCUCCCGUGGGGACUAGCGCCAAAGGUAUUUUGGGUCCCCUCCUACAGGGACCAGCAUCAGGGGUGACUGCAGAUGCCCCCCCUCAGGAACCACCGAUGGCAUUCCAUUCACACCAGGGUGGUCAGAGUCUGCCCCUCAGGUAUCAGCAUCAGGGUCUCUAAUAUGGCUUGAAAAACCAGAGAUGUUUCCAACUUAAGUCAGCAUUUCCACAGUGCACAAGCCAGAUCUGAGGAGGAGCUGUCCACUCUAGAUGUGCGAAAAGAUAAACGGGGGCACGUGAAGAUUCCUAAGUUUGUCUGAGCCGAAGUUGACUCCAAUGGAGCAGUACUAAACUGGAAACGGUUGGGGGGGGGGAGGCGUAGAGGAGGGGCCUUCACACAGAAGAUGCCAGAGCAAAGAAAGUAUGUUAUUAGGUGGCUCCCGCUGAAAGCCGGGUCGCUGUUUGUGACUGGUUGUGCUGACAUGUCAACUUCCUAACCGUCACCUUGAGGCACUGGCAGAGUUCUCUCUCCGCCUGAGUACAGCAGCACCCAGUGUUAGAGCCCCAUCAGUCCGGGGCCUCCCGUUCAGUCUAACAGCCGGGGCCUGGACUCUUCCGUGCACCACGGCGCUGACGGGCGCACUUCGACGCCUCCACCAUCUCCAUCUGAAUGUGAAGAAGAAACUGACGUUUAUGUCUGGCCGCACCGUCACCACGGACCCAGGCUUCUACGUCCAGCAUCCCAGUGUCUGGCCUGUUCUCAACACGGCCAUAAGGCACAGCACACCUGCUGCAGAAACAGCCAUCAAGUUCACAUUCCAGGCAGGAGUGAGGCCCCGCACAAGGGUGCACUGAAGAGCUCUUCCUGGCGAGUCACACAGCCAAGGCCUUUCUCUUAAGGUAUACAUGACCACAUCUUCCAUCCCUGCAGCCAGGCACUACAUCUGUCAGCUGGGCGCACGGCCGCCCUGAGGCAAAUGCCGGUCACUGAGAACACGGUUCUAGGGAUUUGGACGUGGACAUCUCUUCUUCGAGCCAACCACUCUACUCACUAACCGGCCCAUUUCAAAAAUGAGUUUGUGUAUGAAGGCCCCACCUCCACACAGGGGACUACUUAUUCCCCACCUCUACAGCUGGGGCUCUCUGACCCCCAGAUGGUCCCAUUCUGCGUAAUAAUCUGCAGCCAGCCCUUCCCUCUGCCUGGGUCUUCACGCGGGCUCCAACUUCCAUGUGCUUGGGAAGAGGCUGUGGGUAGAGAAGGCACUCAGUAGAUGUUUGCUGAAUGACAUCCCCAAAUAAGGCACUGCUGUGAAAUUUUAUUCCUAUGCUAAUGCGGUCCUGAUGCUUUAAUGGAAGUCAGCGUUGCGACAGGAUCUGCUGCUGAAAUUCACUUUUACUGGAUUUUUCUGGAAUACACCUGUUCUGUAAGAUUCCAAUCUCCGUACCACUAUUCUUCCCCACCAUAGUACUGAGAACUACAAAUAUUGGGGGGGGGGGUGUGUGAAGGAGAGAGAGAGACGGAGAGAGCACUUU